GAUAAACGCUGGCGGCGUGCCUAAUUCAUGCAAGUCGAACGAGGUGCUUUUGUAGCAAUACGAGAGUAUCCUAGUGGCGAACGGGUGAGUAACGCGUUGGUGACCUACCCCAAAGUGUGGGAUAACAGUCCGAAAGGAUUGCUAAUACCGCAUGUGGUCCUUGGAUUUAGAAACUGAUGACUAAAGGAGCAAUUCGCUUUGGGAGGGACCUGCGUCCCAUCAGCUAGUUGGUGAGGUAAUGGCUCACCAAGGCGACGACGGGUAGGGGACCUGAGAGGGUGGCCCCCCACAAUGGAACUGAAACACGGUCCAUACACCUACGGGUGGCAGCAGUAGGGAAUAUUGCACGAUGGGCGAAAGCCUGAUGCAGCAACGCCGCGUGUGUGAUGAAGGCCUUCGGGUCGUAAAGCACUUUUCUGGGAGAUGAGAAAGGACAGUAUCCCAGGAAUAAGUCUCGGCUAACUACGUGCCAGCCGCCGCUGUAAAAC
rnacentral:rRNA from 1 species